UGCAUUGAUGAUGAAUACAAAUUGUAAAUUCUUGAUAGGAAGAGUAUGAUACAUCAUGAGUACUAAUAAAAUGUUGCUGAAUAUGCG